CCUACGGGAGGCUGCAGUGGGGAAUAUUGGGCAAUGGGCGCAAGCCUGACCCAGCAACGCCGCGUGAAGGAAGAAGGCUUUCGGGUUGUAAACUUCUUUUAAGAGGGAAGAGCAGAAGACGGUACCUCUUGAAUAAGCCACGGCUAACUACGUGCCAGCAGCCGCGGUAAUACGUAGGUGGCAAGCGUUGUCCGGAUUUACUGGGUGUAAAGGGCGUGUAGCCGGGCUGACAAGUCAGAUGUGAAAUUCCGGGGCUCAACCCCGGACCUGCAUUUGAAACUGUUGGUCUUGAGUAUCGGAGAGGCAGGCGGAAUUCCUAGUGUAGCGGUGAAAUGCGUAGAUAUUAGGAGGAACACCGAUUGCGAAGGCAGCUUACCAAACUAUAUCUGACGUUGAGGCACGAAAGCGUGGGUAGCAAACAGGAUUAGAUACCCGUGUAGUC
rnacentral:rRNA from 1 species